UUUUAAGUGUUCAAUUUUCGAGAGCUUCAUUCGUCUCUCUUGAGCCCACAACUUCAUCGCGAGCUUCUAUCCUCGCGAGUUUCUAUCAAGCUUUUCGUUUCACAUAAUCACUUCCAAAACCCAGGGUUCUUCCUUCUUUCACCAUUUCAUUCGACGAUUAAAGCCACUUUUGAACCGAUCUAGGUCAGGUUACCCUUUCUCUCUUUUUCUAUCACUUCGUAGUUUGUAUCGCUUCUAUAUUUAUUCGCACAGCCACACUCGCUCGCGGAUUCUGGCACGGGUGUUUAUGACGCGAAUCGGAUUUGUAUGAACUCAAUCGAUGGGGGCACAAAAAGCGAAACCCUGCGCCGUGCACGAAAGAACCCGCAGCGGCUUCUCCGGCGAUGCAAUGCAGCGUCGGCGGAGCUGCCAACGGUGACACCUCGCCGGACGCUGAUGCUAGCAAUGUUUCCGAUCACAAACCACAUAACCCUAGCAAGGUCGAAUUGGCUCCGCCUCUAUCCGAGGGUUCUGAGUACUCCACAAUCAAGCUGGAAUGCGAGCGCGCUCUCACCACGCUCCGCCGCAGGAACCACAGCAAGGAAAUGAAGCUGCUGCGGGAGAUUUGCGCCAGAGAGGAGGGUUCGCCUCACUCUGCGUUCGUCCACCGAGUUCACAGUCUCAUGUGUUUCAAAACGGCGACGUUUAUCACCGACCCUAGUUUGAAGUAGCGACAUUUGAAGAAAUGUUAGAAAAGGAUUCUUACAGAAUAUCCCGAGCUUUGAAUGAUGCAUGUAGGGCACAACUAGCUUGCGAAGCGGUGCACAUGGCUACAGGUGGUCGAGUUGCAGAGUUUGAAAGGCUACUUCAUUUUGGUAGUCCUGUGAUUUGUAAAUCAGUUGAUUUUGUCAGUUGUUCAAUCUGCUCACGCAACCAUGCUGGUGGUGUUUUACAAAUUUAUGGAUUCAUUUAUCUUUCAUGCUAACAUGGCAAUAAAAGGCGUUGUCUAGGAAAUCAAUUAUUGUGUGAUAUCUUCAUCUUUGGUAUUCUGAAAUUAUAACUUCCAUAUUCUCUUAACGGAUAGGUUCUUUGGUUUUCUAUUUCAGAGUUACACGGAACUAACUGGGACUUCGUGGACUUAUUUGUACUUCAUUAGCUUCUACUUAGUUACUGUUUUGCUGCUUUUGAACUUGGGUGAGUUUUUAAAGGAGUUAUAAUUGUGGCAAGAAGGGGAGGAAGAUAGUGUACAAAGAAGACUUGAGCAAGAAAGGAAAGCUAAGGCGAAGAUGAAGGUGCAGUGGAAAGCUGAACAUGAAAUACAAAUACAUAGAAAUUUCCACAUGAAAGCAUCUCAUCAGCUCUCAGGGUGUGUUCUUUUGGAUGGAUUUGAGGGAGAUGAUUUGGGAGAGAUGAUUUGAAUGGAUUUGAGUGGAUUUGAGGGUAAUUUUAUUGUUGUUUUUUUGAGUGGAUUUG